GUUUUUAAUUGAGAUCUAGAAUGAAUGGCUGGAUGAAAUAUUUACUGUUUUUUAGGUAUGUAUUGAAAUUUAUUUUUUAGUUAAAAAGCUAAAAUUUUGUUAAGGGACGAGAAGACCCUAUAGAGUUUUAUAUAAUAUGAAUAUGUAUAUAAUUAUAUUGAAAUAAUAGUACAUGUAAUAUUUAAUUUAUUGGGGUGAUAAAAAAAUUUAAAAAACUUUUUAUAAAAAUUAUUCAAUAAUUAUUGUGUGUUUGAUCUUUUUUUAUUGAUUAAAAGUUUAAAUUACCUUAGGGAUAACAGCAUAAUUUUAAUAAAAAGUUCUAAUUUUUAUUAAAGUUUAU
rnacentral:rRNA from 1 species